UGGGGGAUAUUGCACAAUGGGCGAAAGCCUGAUGCAGCGACGCCGCGUGGGGGAUGAAGGCUUUCGGGUUGUAAACCUCUUUCGCUAUCGAACAAGGCCCGCUUAGGGUGGGUUGAGGGUAGGUGGAGAAGAAGCGCUGGCUAACUACGUGCCAGCAGCCGCGGUAAUACGUAGGGCGCGAGCGUUGUCCGGAAUUAUUGGGCGUAAAGGGCUUGUAGGCGGCUUGUUGCGCCUGCUGUGAAAACGCGGGGCUUAACUUCGCGCGUGCAGUGGGUACGGGCAGGCUUGAGUGUGGUAGAGGUGACUGGAAUUCCAGGUGUAGCGGUGGAAUGCGCAGAUAUCUGGAGGAACACCGAUGGCGAAGGCAGGUCACUGGGCCAUUACUGACGCUGAGGAGCGAAAGCAUGGGUAGCGAACAGG
rnacentral:rRNA from 1 species